rnacentral:rRNA from 1 species
GGAGGGAGCAAGCGUUACUCGGAAUUAUUGGGCGUAAAGGGCGCGUAGGCGAUCUGACGUGUCCUGUGUGAAAGCCCAGAGCUUAACUCUGGAAGUGCACAGGAGACUGUUGUGAAUUGAGUUCAGGAGAGGAAAGCAGAAUUCCCGGUGUAGCGGUGAAAUGCGUAGAGAUCGGGAGGAAUACCAGUGGCGAAGGCGGCUUUCUGGACUGACACUGACGCUGAGGCGCGAAAGCCAGGGGAGCAAACGGGAUUAGAUACCCCGGUAGUCCUGGCUGUAAACGAUGUGCACUUGGUGUGAGCCGGUUUUCGGUUCGUGCCGAAGUUAACGCAAUAAGUGCACCGCCUGGGGAGUACGGUCGCAAGGCUGAA